CAGACUGUAACUGCCAGAGCAGC
rnacentral:piRNA from 1 species